rnacentral:lncRNA from 1 species
GUCGGUUGGCUUGCCCCUUCCCCCGAAGGGGGAGGGGCAAUAGCCAUUGCGGUCGCAUCGAGCUCGCCGCGGGGGGCCCUCCCGGUUAUUCCAGUUUUGACUUGAGUUAUAACCUUGAAACCCGAGCGCAGCGAAAUUUGUCGUGCAAAUAAUGCGCCUUUCUAUGUAUGUAUUGCAAAGAGUAACAUUAUGAAAACGCAAGCCCUAUGCCAGAGCGGGGUAAACGCACAAGCGCAGCGUUUGCAUUAGAGCUCCAGCGCAACAUACAAUAUAUCACAAAUUGUAUCGAUAAUCAAGGCUUCCGGCAUGGAAGGACGCAAGACGGAGGAAUCGACGCGUUGGAGGAUCCCGGAAAUUGCGCGCGAAAGCGCGAGGCGCAAAAGGUUGGCGCUAUCUGUUUUAGUUUCCCCGUAAUGACGAAUGCCGCGUUCUGUAUUCUGCUCGCACAUCACCCGGCACAUCGGCGUUACUCUCGCCCGCUUCUCGCUGGCUUCCACGCCCUGAGUCCGUGCCCCCGCUGAGUCCGAGCCCCCAUCCCCGCUCACUUGCCCACCCCCAGCCCGCGGCGCCCUGAGCUACCGAAGGCAAUAUCAUGACCGGUAGUAUGGCUGCUCGCAGCCCCCAGCAGACCUAUAUGAUACUUCCAACAUCCGCCAGUCCAUCCCACCCCACCCCAUCCCCACACCGCAUUCCGGGGCGCACGGCAUGGAGCGCCCUGAGGGGGGAGGGGCAAGCCGGAGUACUGCGUAGCGGUAGGUGUUUCAACAGGCACAUAGCCAAACCAGGUGCCUAGCAAUCGUGAUGCCACGGCAGAGCCAACCGCAGCCAGACGCAGCACAGUUGUCAACAGCCGCACUACUUGUCAUGCCGCAUGCCCUGCCAG